CCCUAGUAGCGGCGAGCGAAGCGGGAAGAGCUCAAAUUUAUAAUCUGGCACCUUCGGUGUCCGAGUUGUAAUCUCUAGAAGUGUUUUCCGCGUUGGACCGCACACAAGUCUGUUGGAAUACAGCGGCAUAGUGGUGAAACCCCCGUAUAUGGUGCGGACGCCCAGCGCUUUGUGAUACACUUUCAAUGAGUCGAGUUGUUUGGGAAUGCAGCUCAAAUUGGGUGGUAAAUUCCAUCUAAAGCUAAAUAUUGGCGAGAGACCGAUAGCGAACAAGUACCGUGAGGGAAAGAUGAAAAGCACUUUGGAAAGAGAGUUAACAGUACGUGAAAUUGUUGGAAGGGAAACGCUUGAAGUCAGACUUGCUUGCCGGAGCUUGCUUCGGUUUGCAGGCCAGCAUCAGUUUUCCGGGGUGGAUAAUGACGGUUUGAAGGUAGCAGUCUCGGCUGUGUUAUAGCUUUCCGUUGGAUACAUCCUGGGGGACUGAGGAACGCAGCGUGCUUUUUGCGAAAGACUCGUCUUUUUCACGCUUAGGAUGCUGG
rnacentral:rRNA from 1 species